UCCGAGCACAAAUCCCCUCACGCCAAACAAACGGCGUCCGUCCCACGGCGGCGGGCCUGGCCGGUUUUCCUACUUUGUAGCUUCUCCGGUGGACGAAAGUUGCCCCGUCCCUCUUUGCCCCCUCCUCUGGCGGCGGAGGAGGCGGGGUGGGAGGCCGGGUGGGUGAGGAGUCCGCGGCGCACCGGCGGCGGAGAAAUGCGGGUUAAAAAAAAUCAUGUCAAUUUCUAAUUAUUUCAUUGCUCAACACUGAAGUCAAUGUAUGGGAAUUCUCGAGGAAAAGUGCGAUGUGGAGGAUAUGACUUGACUCUACCAUGGCAAGGGGUAAGAGGAAAGAAAAUUCUCGGUUUAUAAAACUGGAGAUACUUACUUUGGGAAUGCAGGAGUCUUGCUCUAAUGCCAGUUCUUCCCUGAGCUCUGCCCUGGCCACGACUCCCAUUCACUUCAGUGGCAGCUUUGUGCGUCGUCGCCCUGUGUGAGCGGCUGGUUUGACCCCUCAACUCUGGCUAAAUGCAAAUUCUUAUAAGAAGAUCCCUCACGGCACCACUUUCUAACAGGGAAGUUUUUGUGGGGUGUCUGAAGAAGAAGCUCGUGCGUGGAACAGAAGGGCACGGCCCCAACCCUGCGAAACAGGGGUGGGUGUGCAGAGGGGACCCGGGUCUGCGGAGCGUGGAUGCUCCCUCACCUGCGCGCUCGCCUGCGGUGCGGGCCCGCCGCACUGUGCUGAGGGGAUGGGCUGAGAGUGUCCGACUCCGGGUCAGCACGGGGGUGAAGAGCUGAGCUGAAACGUCCUGCUUGUAGUGCCAUUCAACAGCGAUCUCCGAGCAUUUUCUUGGGUAUAACUCGUAGAGAUAGUGUUUCAACCGCAUACUUCACCCUCCCCCCGCUUUUUUUUUAA